GCGCUGGUGGUGUAGGGGUUAGCGCACAUAUAGAGGCUAUAGUCCUCGAAGCGAACUCCCGGGUUCGAGUCCCGGACCCGGCGACCU